UACCCGAUCGACUCUGUCCGCGGCUAUAUGCUUGUCUCAAAAGCUAAGCCAUGCAUAUCUAAUCUCAAAUAACCUAUAAUGCUGGAACCGCGAACUGUUCAUUAUAACAGCUAUAAUGUGCUUGAUGUUGAUUAGUCUAACGCGGGUAGGUAACUGACAGUUCUCGAGCUAGUUAAUGCACCAGAGACCAAACUAAAAGGAUAAUAGCAUCUAUUAGAAUGGAGAAACCAAUGGGGUUUGUAAAAGAAUUCAUGAAGUAAUUGGUGAAUCUGAGUAGCUAUAGAUGAUAGCAUAAUCUUGUACCGAUACCGUAUUUCACGUGUUGCUUUAUCAACUUUUCGUGAUAGUCUAUGUGGCCUACCAUGGUUGUAAAGGAUGAUGGAGGGUGUUCGACUCCGGAGAAGCAGCCUGAGAAAUGGCUAUCACAUCAAAACAUACAGCAGAGAUCUAAAUUACCAACUCUCGGCAUGAGGAAGAAAAGACAAAAUGACGAAACCGUUCCCUUUGACGCCGGUUAUCGGAAUGAGUGCAUUUAAACCUGUUAACGGGUAUCUAUAAGAGGAUAAGUCUGGUACCAUCAAUUCUAGAUCUCAAAGUGCUGUGUAUCUUCAUUGCUGUGGUUAAAAAGCUUGUAGUCGGACCUGCGUCUUAGGACUUGUUCCUUUCGAUUGAAUCUGAUCUGGGAACUUUGGCUAACACUUAAUUAGUUUUGUUAUGUCCUUUGUUUUAUUUCUGAUGGCCUCGGAUUUAAAACAUCGACAGUUCUGAAUUCGAAGCAAAGUGAAUUGAGUUAAUUCUUAGUUAUCAAAAAAUAGAUAUAAAGAGAGUACAAAAUUUUCGAGCUGAAGUUUAGAGUGGAAUUGAAAUUUGAUAUUCCUUUAGCACAUUCCAUUAUUUGGUAUGUUAGGAUAACAAAAUGAAAGGAUACAUUCAUAUUGGAAAAAUCAUGU
rnacentral:ncRNA from 1 species